rnacentral:lncRNA from 1 species
CACAGGCCCGCCCACAUCUCCCUCCGUCCCACUUCCCCGGCUAUAGAGUUCAGUUUCUCUCCCCACUUUCCCCAUUUUUACCGCACCUCUCUCUUUCUCUCUCCUCCGGUCCUCCCUCAACCCCAGCAGCUUCGUCUCCCCUCCCCUCUCCCCAGAAAUCGGAACUAGAUAGAUAGAUCAGCCCUAUCUUUGCCUCCUCCCGGACGACUCGGCGCAAGGUCGCAGCUUUUCUCUCGAUCUUUCGCGCUUCCUCUUUUUGACGCUUGCUCCGCAUGGGGUUCCUGGAGAUCUUUGGGGCGGUUCGCUGCUGAGAUGGUUCGCCGCAUCACGCGCUGCUGUGACUCUCAACAG